GUGCUUAAUGAAUGUCAGCUGAAUGACUAAAGAUAUAAAAGGAGAUUGCUUUAUUUAACUUAUAGACAGGGGAAAUUUUAAGUCGAUUUAUUAAUUGCUGGCACAUAAAUAAGCUGCUGAGAUGCCUGAAAUCAGAGCUAAUCUGCCAUUUACCCUAGUCAACUGCCACCCCUGGGCUCUGACUCCUAUACUUCUCUCAACCCCGCUGGGCAGGGACCCAGGGAGGCAGCCUGUGGGGGCAAAGGAGGUCUGUAGGCUGUAGACACACCAGUGAAGUUGGCCUAUUAAUGCCAUCCUUGCAACUGUGAGCCUGAUGGGCUGUGCCUCUACUCAUCACCCAUGUCUCCUCCACUGUGACUACAACUCUUCCUUUAGGGACUUUCUCUUUCCUUCAAGGCCAUCUUUGAACCUAGGCUCACUCUGUAACUUGACUCUUCUCAGAGACAAAUGUUAUACAGUGUGACUUAAACCUGAGCUUUCAGGAUCUCCUGUUUGAGGAAUCCCGAAAUUGGCUGAAAAUGGGAUGGUCUCUUCAGUAUUCCAGCAUCCCCCUGUUCUGUAUGAUUCACACUCCAAUUUGCAUCUAGGAGGGAUUUGCUGACAAAAAAUGAAAAUGGAGGAGAAUGAUGUCUCAGGAGGACCAGAGUCAGGCACAGCACACUCUCCACCAAUUUUUCUGCUGUGCCUUCAUCCCACCUGUGCGCUCACACUUCAGCUUCUCUGUAAGGCUCCUUUGCUGGUUUGCCAGCUCUCGGCUUUGUGUGCUGGAAACAUCUUGAACAAAAUGUCACAGAGAGCAUCUCGGCAGUGUCCUGCUGACUGAGGACCUGGGACUGCCGAGGCUGCCAUCUGCCUGCAGCCUCUCAGAGGUAAUUAUACCAGAGUCUCUCAAGGCCUGGAACAAGGGGGAUGUCAAAUGCACUUUCCUUUCUCUAGGAAGGUAAUUUUCAUUUUCUCAGCUCACUUGGACCUGCAUAUCCUUGUGGUCUCCAGGUGUGAGAAAGGUGCAGGGAGAGAAGAAAAGGU
rnacentral:lncRNA from 10 species